rnacentral:rRNA from 1 species
UACGUAGGGGGCAAGCGUUGUCCGGAUUUAUUGGGCGUAAAGAGCGUGUAGGCGGUUUGGUAGGUCCGCUGUGAAAACUCGAGGCUCAACCUCGAGACGCCGAUGGAAACCAUCAGACUAGAGUCCGGAAGAGGAGAGUGGAAUUCCUGGUGUAGCGGUGAAAUGCGUAGAUAUCAGGAAGAAUACCGAUGGCGAAGGCAGGUCUCUGGGCUGACACUGACGCUCAUGCACGAAAGCGUGGGGAGCAAACAGG